rnacentral:rRNA from 1 species
AUGGAAACCCACCUGGUCGCCCAAUCAGAUCUGCCUGAGUUGCGGGCGCCCUGCGAGAUGACGACAACUUUGUGUUGUUCCACGCUGACGACACGGUCGUAUGGUGGACGUUCGAGUCCCCGACGGAUACCUGGUCACCGGGAAGGACUUCAUGCCUGCGGCGUAGCUCUUCUCCAGCGUUUCCGAUACCAACAAGGCCGACGGGAAGUAUCGGCUCGCCAACCAGCAACAGGACGGCAAAACCUGGUGGCACGAGGGCGAAACCUGUUCCCGCUGCUCCCGGAGCCGUUCAAGGGUGUUGAGCAGAUCGGCGUCAUCCGAUAUGGUCUCCAGGUUCAGUCCCAGCUUCGCUUUGCUGCCUUACUGCACAAUUUCUCUCCUAUCUGUCGAGAUUUACCAUUCUUGUCUGCUAUUCUACUGAAUACUAUUCUUGGAUAA